rnacentral:rRNA from 1 species
GAUGAACGCUAGCUACAGGCUUAACACAUGCAAGUCGAGGGGAAACGAUAUUGGAGGCUUGCUUCCGAUAGGCGUCGACCGGCGCACGGGUGAGUAACGCGUAUCCAACCUGCCCAUCACUUGGGGAUAACCUUGCGAAAGUAAGACUAAUACCCAAUGAUAUCCGUCGAAGACAUCUGAAGUGGAUUAAAGAUUCAUCGGUGAUGGAUGGGGAUGCGUCUGAUUAGCUUGUUGGCGGGGUAACGGCCCACCAAGGCAACGAUCAGUAGGGGUUCUGAGAGGAAGGUCGCCCACAUUGGAACUGAGACACGGUCCAAACUCCUACGGGAGGCAGCAGUGAGGAAUAUUGGUCAAUGGACGAGAGUCUGAACCAGCCAAGUAGCGUGCAGGAUGACGGCCCUAUGGGUUGUAAACUGCUUUUAUAAGGGAAUAAAGUGGGAGUCGUGACUCCUUUUGCAUGUACCUUAUGAAUAAGGACCGGCUAAUUCCGUGCCAGCCGCCGCAGUAA